rnacentral:rRNA from 1 species
UGAGGAAUAUUGGACAAUGGGCGCAAGCCUGAUCCAGCCAUGCCGCGUGCAGGAUGACGGUCCUAUGGAUUGUAAACUGCUUUUGUACAGGAAGAAACAUUGGUUCGUGAACCAGCUUGACGGUACUGUAAGAAUAAGGAUCGGCUAACUCCGUG